rfam:Clostridiales bacterium 41_21_two_genomes Ley3_66761_scaffold_286, whole genome shotgun sequence.
UCCGCCGUAAGGUAGAAUCUGAAGGAAGUCUGCGGCAAACCAUCGGUUCGACGGACAGAAAUCAUGUAUAAGGCUUACAGCCUGGAUAAGACUGCUGAUCAAGUUAAAGUCCA